AUCUGCUAAAAGGAGAAUCAGAAGAGAGAGGUGAGACAUUCUGCAACAUAACAAGAUUGCAUAAAGAUGGAAAAUGUUUACAAGAGGAGUAGAUUGCGAAGAUGGCAGAACUCAUAGAAAUGGCAAAACUAAUUUGUUCAAUGAGGAAUAAAAGAAUAAGUACUUUUAUAAAAGACUGGAAAACUCUUAUGGACUCUUUGCUUAACUUGGAAAAAAUACGAAUUGGUGAUUUCUCAAUUUGCUGAUUUAAAAACGUUGAAUAUGGGGAAAAAGGAACCACAUAAUGUCACCUGAAAGAGGGAGGCCGGAUAAUAAAUUCAUUUGUAACUACUGUAAAGAAGAUUGGAGGUCACUUCUUUGUAUAGCUUUCUUUUUUAAUUUUACUGUUACUACUAUUUAUACCAUAAAUCUGCUAAGGGCUAAAGAUACAAAUCAUGCAGAUGAUAUUUAUUUAUUUAUUUAUUUUAAAAAAAUAAUCUUUAUUUACAUUUUCCAUUAAAAACAAACAAAAAAUAACAACACACCAUAUAAAUAACAUACAACACAAAAAACAUCACAAAUAACAAACAAGUAAUAGGUGCAACUAACUAUUCAAUACAGUAUUACAAUCUAGGGGAGAUAGAACAACUUAUAUCUCUUUAUAUAUCAAUUAGGUCUAACCGACCUCACUUUCCUUGUAUAAUAUAGUUUUCUCCAAAACAACCUUUCCUCUUUUGGUUUGGGUUAUGAUUUUCUCUUCUCUAGCCAAGUAUAUAAUUUUUCCCAGGAUAAACAUGUUUGUGUUUGGUCUCUAUCUUUUAAUUUCUUGGUCAAUUUAUCUGCUUCCACACAGAUGAUGCAGAUGAUAUUUAAAAUGAACAAGAGACACAAUUAGGUAUAGAAAAUUAUCAACCCACUGUGACAACUCCACAAACACUGGACAAUGCAAAUAACUGUAACUAUGGAAUAUAAAUCUGACACCAGCUUUUAUUAUGAUGAUUUGAAUAUAACACUCCCAGUCUGUGGUGGGUUGCCUCCAGUUUGGACCAGUUCACAAGAACCGGUAGUAAAACCAGUGGGAGGCUCCACCCACUGCCCCGGAUGUCAUCAUCAACGAUCUGUGCGAUCCCGUUAUGAACCAGUAGUAAAGAAUUCCACCUAUUGUUUCCAGUUCUGUCACAAACAAACUGGCAACAUCUUUCGACAGCCAUGCUUUUAGAAAGCCUUCCUCUCCAACUCAAGCUUUCUGGAGUUAUCAAAGCCAAGAUAGGGGAGAGUGAAAACAUUUUGAAGAAAGGAAAAGCGUGACAAGAUAAGGUAAUGCUGAGACUUUCAUUCCUUGGGAAAAAUCAAGACGAUUUCCAUCUAUUGUCUGGAUAAAGUAAAACGGAAGGCAGAAACCUGGCUGUCUUGCACACAGGUGGAUACACAACCUGAUGACAAAACCAUGCUCUCCAUGCACUCUUUUUAGUCUGUAGAAGACACUAUGUUAUCAGCCCUGCCUGGGAGCUAUAAAGGAGGACAGCCAUUCCCUGGAAGAGGUGGGGCAAUUUUUAAAUAUAUUUUAGUGGGUUUAAAGGAGUUACCGUAUUUUUUGGAGUAUAAGAUGCACCUUGGUUUUUGGGGAGGAAAAUAAGAAAAAAGCUGUUUGGCAGGUGGAUCCGCCUCCCGGAAUACCCCCAAUCAGCUGUUCCCAGAGGGGAAUUUUAGCAACAGGUUCCUUGGUUGUGAGCUCUGUGCCUUGCUUUUUUUUUCCCCGCCUCUGAAACGUCUGAAACUCUGUUUUAGAAAAAAGUUUUUUUCCUGCCUUUGAAAGCCUC